UAUCUGGUUGAUCCUGCCAGUAGUCAUAUGCUUGUCUCAAAGAUUAAGCCAUGCAUGUCUAAGUAUAAGCACUUGUACUGUGAAACUGCGAAUGGCUCAUUAAAUCAGUUAUCGUUUAUUUGAUUGUACCUUACU
rnacentral:ncRNA from 1 species